UAUAUACUCCAUCCGUCCCAAAACUCUUCUCUUAGAUUUGUUUAGAUAUGAAUGNNUCUAGUCAAGUUUUAGUAUUUAGAUAUAUCUAUUUGUAGACAGAGCUAAGACAAGAAUUUUGGGAGGAAGGGAGUAAUAU
rfam:Hordeum vulgare subsp. vulgare, WGS project CAJW01000000 data, contig: morex_contig_76722